CUGGUUGAUCCUGCCGGAGAUCACCGCUAUAAGGUUUGGAUUUAACCCAUGCUAGUCUCUGGGUAAUACCAGGGCGCAAGGCUGAGUAACGCGUAGAUAACCUGCCCUAUGGUCGGGAAUAAGCUCGCGAAAGUGAGUAGAAUACCCGAUAGGAAAUAUUCUCUGGAACGAAAUAUUUCUCAAACUCGUGCCAUAGGAUGGGUCUGCGGUGGAUUAGGCUGUUGUUAGUGUAACGAACUAACAAACCUAUAAUCCAUAGGGGCUAUGAGAGUAGUGGCCUCCAGAUGGGUUCUGAGACAAGAACCCAGGUCCUACGGGACGCAGCAGGGGCGAAACCUUCUCAAUGCGCGCAAGCGUGAAGGGGCAAGCCUUAGUGCCGGCCUUUGCUCGGCUUUUGCCAAGUUCAAAAGGCUUGGCGAAUAAGUGGUGGGCAAGACCGUUGCCAGCCGCCGCGGUAAUAACGGCUCCACAAGUGGUGAUCGCGUAUGUUGGGCCUAAAGCAUCCGUAGCCGGCUUAGUAAGUCUUCUGUGAAAUCCGGCAGAAAACUGUCGGGCGUGCAGGAGAUACUACUAGGCUUGGGACCGGGAAGGGUAGGAGGUACUUCCAGGGUAGGGGUGGAAUCCUGUAAUCCUGGAGGGACCACCUGUGGCGAAGGCGUCCUACUGGAACGGGUCCGACGGUGAGGGAUGAAAGCUGGGGGAGCAAAUGGGAUUAGAGACCCCAGUAGUCCCAGCUGUAAACGAUGCCCGCUAGGUAUUAGGAUUCCCACGUGGAAUUCUAGUGCCGUAGGGAAGCCAUUAAGCGGGCCGCCUGGGAAGUACGGUCGCAAGGCUGAAACUUAAAGGAAUUGGCGGGGGAUCACACAAGGGGUGCAGUCUGCGGUUCAAUUGGACUCAACGCCGGGAACCUCACCAGGGGUGACAGCAGGAUGAUGGUCAGUCUGAAGGGCUUACCUGACGCGCUGAGAGGUAUUGCAUGGCCGACGUCAGCUCGUGCCGUGAGGUGUCGUGUCAAGUCAUGUAACGAGCGAGACCCGCACUGUAUGUUGCCAUUCUGUCAGCAAUGACGGGGGCACUCAUGCAGGACAGCUCGCGCUAAGUGAGAGGAAGGUGCGGUCAACGUUAGGUCAGUAUGGUCCGAAUCCCUUGGGCUACACGCGGGCGACAAUGGUCGGGACAAUAGGAUGCAACGCCGAAAGGCGAAGCUAAUCCCUGAAACCCGAUCUCAGUUCAGAUUGUGGGUUGCAACUCACCCACAUGACGCCGGAAUCCCUAGUAAUCGAGUGUUAGCAUCGCUCGAUGAAUACGUCCCUGAUCCUUGCACACAC
rnacentral:rRNA from 1 species